AUAUAUAUUUAUAUAUAAUUUGUUCAAAAAAAUCUGUUCCUAUCAGUUUAAUAUCUGAUCAGUGCCCGAUCUGAGGACCAUAUAUUGAAUUGAUUGGAACAGGGAGAUGGAAUAGGGGCUUGGUCCCUCCACUCCACACAUGGACCUGGUAUUGCAGGGUUUCCAGGCACACAGCACUCCUU